AUCCUCCACCCCUCCUAGUGCCUUUUGAACACCUGUUUUGACUCAGAUGUUUGCUAUGCUCCGAAAACCAUAGAGAUAAGGCCCAGAGAUCAGGCAAGGAGGAGAAUUUCCUCCUGGGCAAUGGAAAGAGAGAGGUUGGGAAAGAGCCCAGCAGGCGUUCUCGGUCAAAGUGCAGUGGAACAGACGGGUUGCUAGGGAGAGCUUUCUAGAACAUCUUUCACCUUGCAAUAGGAAAGAUGGGUUGGAGUAGUUGAGACCAAGGAAAUGUACUCAAAGGAUGGUGAAUUCCUGUAUCUCCCUUAAUUCCUUCAUCUUUAUCCUCUUCUGUGGCUUCUUCUUGUUAAUAUACAAAUGUGGAGGCUGCUACAACACCGGUGAACAGACUCGUAAAACCAGGAAGCAGCAGGAAGAAAGAGGCAGAGGAAGACCUUGAAUUCCUGAUCCUCUUUCCUGUGUCCUAAGUACUGGAAACUCCAGGGUUAAGACCCCACUGCAUGGCUCUUCACAGUUGGUGACUUCUGGCCUGGAUGCAGGUGAAGAAAGACUCAUCUUUCCUUUGGGGGCUGGCUACUAGGAAUUUGACCAUGCUCUAACAGACCAUGGGAUACCUAACCAACUCUACUGCCUCUUUCUGCCCUGAUGAACUCAUUCACAGCCCACACAUCUUGCCUGUCUCUGGUAUUCCAGGCAUGGCAAUUUAGCUGAUCUUUUCAGCUUAAGAGAAGGUUUUCCUUUAACAUUGAGGCUUUGACUCAGAACAAGAGACUCCCAGUCGCCUUGAUCAGCCUUCUCCAGGAGCCCCUGUGAGUGAAGACAAGAUCUCGGGAAAGUGCUAGGGUGAGAAAGUAUGGCUUCCUUCGCUUUCCUCCGAGGAUCAGGAAGAGAAAGAUAGGGUCUCACCAUGUAGCCCUGGCUUUCUGGAUCGCCCAAUGUAGAUAGACACUAAAUUGGUCUUGAACUCACAGACUCUCUUCCUUCAGCAUGCUGGGAUUAAAGGUGUGUGCUACCAUGCUCCUCUCUUGAGAAGAUUCUUCAUCGCACCAGAGUCUCUGAACUUUACAGUUCAAAGUCUCCCUGGCAGUCAGCCUCAUCUAACACCGGGCCUGAGGGUGGAUUCUAAGAAUCAUGAAAAGGUCCAUUUUUGAUGGUCACUCCCUCCACUGCACAUUUGUCUCUCUGCGUUCUCAUUGGACCCACUGUUACAGGAGCAGAAGCUGGACUGGACCGGCAAAGGGCCAUAAAGGCUAGGGUUUCUUUUCCACUUGGGAGAGGCAAAGCGGAGAGCGGAGGGCAUUCACCUUCCGGGUGAGAUCCUGAGCCUCGCAGAGCGCAGUCAGCGCGGGUGGCUCCUAAGCUGUGCCACGUAGCCGCAGGCCUGAGUGGGCAAGGGUUUGGGAGCGCCGGUUGCACCGAUCUCGCGGCUGGGAUGAGCAGGGUGGUGUCCGAGCUGUGGCACACCCGAGAGUAGCAUCCCCACGGAGCCCCUCCCUCCCCUCCGCGCCAGGCCCGCAAGGAAUCGUCACUCACCG